rnacentral:lncRNA from 7 species
GAGAAGCUGUGGAUGCCCCAUCCCUGGAGAUGUUCAAGGCCAGGUUGGGUGGGGGCUGAAAGUUGGUGAUCUUUAAGGUCUCUUCCAACCCAAGCCAUUCUAUGACUCUGUACCUCUGUGUUCUUUUCAAGUCAUUUAUGUCAAUAAAAUGAGAUUUGAAUAGAGAAAGUCUUUAAAGUUAUGCAUCAACCAAUUCAAAAUCCACCCUGACUGAACUCUAGCUGCAAAACAGUGGCAGUAGGUUAAAAUGCAAAAUACUCAGUGAGAAAAUAUAUCCUAAAUUUUAUGACCUAUUUCUGAUACCAGUCUUCAGCUGCUGCCUUUAACAGUCUCCAUCACUCUUCCAACUAAACCUUUGAGAACAUACAUUCAGUUUUUAAAUUGAAUUCAGUUCUGUGUUUUGGGAAAGCUAUAUGUGGCCAGGCUUAGGCUUCCUCUAAGAAUAGAUGAGACAUUAUCCUUCAGGUUACCACAGGCAUGUGCUUUGCUUGCCCACUGAGUCUGCUAAAGGCAGAGAAACUGAGUUGGGGAUGACAAGAAUGUGCUUCCAAGUGUGUGAUCAAUCGAAGGUUGGGGGAGCUCCAAGGAGCAUGGAUGGGAGAGAGCAAACUAGUUAAACAUUUUAUUCAUCUUUAAGAUGUAAGCCUGCAUUUGUUUGGGGGCUAAUACAAUUCAAAGAGUGUCAACAGGACAUGCAGAUCUUAGUGAUUCUGGUAUAGGAGCAAAUAAGAUUUAUUAAGACUUGCUCGCAAAUAUUUUUUGCUUCUGUCUGUAAAAACAGGACAUUCUCACAACUAAGAUUUACAAAUAACCUUCAUAACCACAUAUAUUGGUUAGACUGCAUUUGCAAAAAUCACUUGAGGCAUCUUGUUUCAGAACGUAAGGUCCCAUGUGCAAAAAUCAUUUUUCACAAACUAGCUUUAUAUUGUUCAGUCUAGAAGUUCUGGGCCUUACUAGUGUAAUUACUUGUAUUUCAGGGAGCACCAGAGAGAUCUGACAACAGUUGUUCUUUGGAUGGAAGAAUGGGUUUCUCCUUGAAGAGCUGCUUUGGGGACAUUAAAAUUGAAAGUGGAAAUGCCACAGCACGAAACACUCAAAGUGGCAUUCUGACACAGUCGAGGAGGGAAACAUAUUGCAUCCACAUUGGUAGAAACACAGAUGUGCCCAUCAGGUUAAAAGUGCAGUUAUGCUUUCCAGGGAUGUAGGCAUAUCCUGAGAUGAUUAAACUUCACUGAACCACUGCAGUGGUCCUUUAUAAACCUCAAAGGCUGUCCCAAGGAGUACAUACAACAUGAAGUGACUCUGAUGUUUCCCAGUAUUAAGCCUCCCGUUUCUUUUGCCUAUUGGACACUCUGCCUGGAAAGCAGGAUUCUGCACAGUGGCACAUGCCCUGUCAACUCCUGAAAGCAUUUUGAGUUGCAGAAACAAGACCAACACUGGUACCCAGAAGUGUGAGAUGAAGAGAUAUAAUGCCAGACAAAGGCCACAGGUGCCAUAGUAGAAUUUCAAGGUGUGACAAGGGAAAACAGUUAAGGGAAUUCAUGGUAUACAAUGUAGAGAACAGAUUUGGCAAUAAACAAUAAAAGAAUAUGCUAAAAUAAUGUCAGUAAGAGAGGAAAUGUAAGUAUGCUAUUUGGAAGUGGUCGGUGAUGUUUAAUUGUCAGGUCAAUUAGUGGAAUAAUUUAUAUAGGGUGGUAAUAAUUGGAACAGCUGAGGAGGAAGGCUGGUUUGUGCUUGUCUAUCGUGAGUAAUUGAGAGUCUCCACUGCUGCAGCUGUGUGAAAAGCAAAGGUGUUCCUAAGAUGCAUGAAAAGAGACUUUUCCAAUGCAUACAUUG